UGGGGCGUCGUCAAGUGGUAAGACACCGGUUUUUGGGUCCGGCUACCGUAGGUUCGAAUCCUACCGCCCCAGCCA
rnacentral:tRNA from 1 species